rnacentral:rRNA from 1 species
UUAAGUUAUUAAGGGCGCACGGUGGAUGCCUUGGCACUAGAAGCCGAUGAAGGACGUUACUAACGACGAUAUGCUUUGGGGAGCUGUAAGUAAGCUUUGAUCCAGAGAUUUCCGAAUGGGGAAACCCAACAUGAGUUAUGUCAUGUUAUCGAUAUGUGAAUACAUAGCAUAUCAGAAGGCACACCCGGAGAACUGAAACAUCUUAGUACCCGGAGGAAGAGAAAGAAAAUUCGAUUCCCUUAGUAGCGGCGAGCGAAACGGGAAGAGCCCAAACCAACAAGCUUGCUUGUUGGGGUUGUAGGACACUCUAUACGGAGUUACAAAGGACGACAUUAGACGAAUCAUCUGGAAAGAUGAAUCAAAGAAGGUAAUAAUCCUGUAGUCGAAAAUGUUGUCUCUCUUGAGUGGAUCCUGAGUACGACGGAGCACGUGAAAUUCCGUCGGAAUCUGGGAGGACCAUCUCCUAAGGCUAAAUACUCUCUAGUGACCGAUAGUGAACCAGUACCGUGAGGGAAAGGUGAAAAGCACCCCGGAAGGGGAGUGAAAUAGAACCUGAAACCGUGUGCUUACAAGUAGUCAGAGCCCGUUAAUGGGUGAUGGCGUGCCUUUUGUAGAAUGAACCGGCGAGUUACGAUUUGAUGCAAGGUUAAGCAGUAAAUGUGGAGCCGUAGCGAAAGCGAGUCUGAAUAGGGCGUUUAGUAUUUGGUCGUAGACCCGAAACCAGGUGAUCUACCCUUGGUCAGGUUGAAGUUCAGGUAACACUGAAUGGAGGACCGAACCGACUUACGUUGAAAAGUGAGCGGAUGAACUGAGGGUAGCGGAGAAAUUCCAAUCGAACCUGGAGAUAGCUGGUUCUCUCCGAAAUAGCUUUAGGGCUAGCCUCAAGUGAUGAUUAUUGGAGGUAGAGCACUGUUUGGACGAGGGGCCCCUCUCGGGUUACCGAAUUCAGACAAACUCCGAAUGCCAAUUAAUUUAACUUGGGAGUCAGAACAUGGGUGAUAAGGUCCGUGUUCGAAAGGGAAACAGCCCAGACCACCAGCUAAGGUCCCAAAAUAUAUGUUAAGUGGAAAAGGAUGUGGCGUUGCCCAGACAACUAGGAUGUUGGCUUAGAAGCAGCCAUCAUUUAAAGAGUGCGUAAUAGCUCACUAGUCGAGUGACACUGCGCCGAAAAUGUACCGGGGCUAAACAUAUUACCGAAGCUGUGGAUUGUCCUUUGGACAAUGGUAGGAGAGCGUUCUAAGGGCGUUGAAGCAUGAUCGNNNNNNNNAAGGACAUGUGGAGCGCUUAGAAGUGAGAAUGCCGGUGUGAGUAGCGAAAGACGGGUGAGAAUCCCGUCCACCGAUUGACUAAGGUUUCCAGAGGAAGGCUCGUCCGCUCUGGGUUAGUCGGGUCCUAAGCUGAGGCCGACAGGCGUAGGCGAUGGAUAACAGGUUGAUAUUCCUGUACCACCUAUAAUCGUUUUAAUCGAUGGGGGGACGCAGUAGGAUAGGCGAAGCGUGCGAUUGGAUUGCACGUCUAAGCAGUAAGGCUGAGUAUUAGGCAAAUCCGGUACUCAUUAAGGCUGAGCUGUGAUGGGGAGAAGACAUUGUGUCUUCGAGUCGUUGAUUUCACACUGCCGAGAAAAGCCUCUAGAUAGAAAAUAGGUGCCCGUACCGCAAACCGACACAGGUAGUCAAGAUGAGAAUUCUAAGGUGAGCGAGCGAACUCUCGUUAAGGAACUCGGCAAAAUGACCCCGUAACUUCGGGAGAAGGGGUGCUCUUUAGGGUUAACGCCCAGAAGAGCCGCAGUGAAUAGGCCCAAGCGACUGUUUAUCAAAAACACAGGUCUCUGCUAAACCGUAAGGUGAUGUAUAGGGGCUGACGCCUGCCCGGUGCUGGAAGGUUAAGAGGAGUGGUUAGCUUCUGCGAAGCUACGAAUCGAAGCCCCAGUAAACGGCGGCCGUAACUAUAACGGUCCUAAGGUAGCGAAAUUCCUUGUCGGGUAAGUUCCGACCCGCACGAAAGGCGUAACGAUUUGGGCACUGUCUCAACGAGAGACUCGGUGAAAUCAUAGUACCUGUGAAGAUGCAGGUUACCCGCGACAGGACGGAAAGACCCCGUGGAGCUUUACUGUAGCCUGAUAUUGAAAUUCGGCACAGCUUGUACAGGAUAGGUAGGAGCCUUUGAAACGUGAGCGCUAGCUUACGUGGAGGCGCUGGUGGGAUACUACCCUAGCUGUGUUGGCUUUCUAACCCGCACCACUUAUCGUGGUGGGAGACAGUGUCAGGCGGGCAGUUUGACUGGGGCGGUCGCCUCCUAAAAGGUAACGGAGGCGCUCAAAGGUUCCCUCAGAAUGGUUGGAAAUCAUUCAUAGAGUGUAAAGGCAUAAGGGAGCUUGACUGCGAGACCUACAAGUCGAGCAGGGUCGAAAGACGGACUUAGUGAUCCGGUGGUUCCGCAUGGAAGGGCCAUCGCUCAACGGAUAAAAGCUACCCCGGGGAUAACAGGCUUAUCUCCCCCAAGAGUUCACAUCGACGGGGAGGUUUGGCACCUCGAUGUCGGCUCAUCGCAUCCUGGGGCUGUAGUCGGUCCCAAGGGUUGGGCUGUUCGCCCAUUAAAGCGGUACGCGAGCUGGGUUCAGAACGUCGUGAGACAGUUCGGUCCCUAUCCGUCGUGGGCGUAGGAAAUUUGAGAGGAGCUGUCCUUAGUACGAGAGGACCGGGAUGGACAUACCUCUGGUGUACCAGUUGUCGUGCCAACGGCAUAGCUGGGUAGCUAUGUGUGGACGGGAUAAGUGCUGAAAGCAUCUAAGCAUGAAGCCCCCCUCAAGAUGAGAUUUCCCAACUUCGGUUAUAAGAUCCCUCAAAGAUGAUGAGGUUAAUAGGUUCGAGGUGGAAGCAUGGUGACAUGUGGAGCUGACGAAUACUAAUCGAUCGAAGACUUAAUCAA